rnacentral:lncRNA from 10 species
CUCUUUUGAAUGCUCAAUAACAGAACCCUUUUUCCAAAUAAAUAAUAUGUGAAACCACGAUAUGUAAAACAGACAAAAGGGGAAUUAGGAUGGGUGACUCCAGAUUUGGCCAAAUCAGCUUCCUCCUCCCACUGAGAACUAAUCUUAAUACAUCUCUUUGAAACCCUACAGCUCCUUGGGAACACAGUGUGAAAUGUGUACCUAUUAUACAAGGUGUUUCACAGACUGAUAUCUUGAAGCAUUUUGCUCAUAAGCGAGGUGCAGAGGCCACAGAGAAUGCUACAGGCUCCAUGUGCCAGAUGUUCUCAGCCCAGGUCCUGGAUGUGGCUUCGGUUCUGCCUGUGCUCUCUUGUGAGACUUGGAAGCUAGAAGUGAGGUGGAGUUCCCUAUUCUGGGUGCCUGGCUUAAAAACGUUCAUGUUCGGCAAGAAAUUCAGCAAGAAAGCCCUGCAGUGCUGAGCCCAGGGUAAUAAGACUUCCACCACCGAACCCUCUGAUAAAUUUCCUCUGUCUUUAUUCAGGGAACCCUUGUAAAUAAUCAGUCUCUUCUACAUUGUUUUUCUUCCUUUUCAUUUUAGUUUCUUCUUUGAUGAGAUUCACAGUCUUGCAAGUGUAAUUAUAGUUCUUGGAAUUGCUAAUUCCACCUUAAUAUUUUUUUCCUUAACAAUUUAUCUUUUUUGGCUUUUGUUUUAUUUAAUUUCUGAUAAUAUUCUUAGGACUUUGAAUAGAUGUGCUUUCUCUUACUAAAUAAGUGAAAUGCUUUAUCUUAUUAUUAUUUUUAAUAUUAAUAGUAAAAGCAAUGAAGACUGAAUUGACUUCUGAGCAUCUCUGUGACCUCACCCCAAAAGUUUUCUUUAUUAUGAGUUCUCAUUUUUGUUAUUUUCUCCAAAUAUGUUAUUUGCUGAUUGGCUUACAUGUUAUUUCAGUGGUUAUACUGGAGAGUUUUAAACAUUUUCCAUAUGAUUUAGUUGUGAUUUAUUUAAAUUCUUGCAUCAAUAAUAGUUAGAACAAUAAAUCAUUACUUACAAUAAUCUUUCAUUUAAUUGCACUGUGACCAAGCAACAUAAUCUGAAGAAUUUCUUAUGUUGUUAGUUUAUUCAGAUUUUAUGUCUCGUUUUUAUGUACAUUUUAUAACUAUCAGAAAGAAAAUAAAUCCUAUGUUUUGGGGGUAUAUACAUCUAUAAACUGCUACAAUUUCUACUUUUUAAAAAGUACUGUGUAUUGAGCACAUACUCAUGACAACUGUUGUGCUUGGUGCCUUACAUAUGUGUUCCCAAAUAUUCGAUAGUAACACUAUCAACCUCAACAUAUUUGAUAGUAAAUAUUAACACUGUUUUACAGAUGAUGAAACCAAGGCUCAGAUUUUUCUUUAAUGUUUCAAAUGUUGUAAACUGCUUGUGAUAUCUAAAAUAUCUCACCCUGACUAUAUUUCUGUUUUUUCUUAAUUUUUGAUAAUUUUUCCUAUGUAUUUUGUUUAUAUAUUUAUCUGUGCCUAGAGAUUCC